AGCAUAAGCAGUGAGUUUCAUGCACCUUAAAUCGUUUGUUUUGCUUAUAUUAGUAUUUGUGUUAGAGGUUAUUCGUACUAUAUAGCCGACAUUGCUAGUCUUUCAGUUUUUUGUACCUUUUUUAUUUUAGGGAAAAUGUCUUAAUACACAAAAACUGUUCUAGGAUAUUUUGUAUCUUUCUAGAUAUUCUUUAUAUGUGUCUUGACCUUAUGCCAUUAGGAUAUGUAGUUUGACUAGAUUUAUGUAUUCAUAUCCUUACCAUAUUGGUAUUGUGUAAUUCCCUAUAUAAAGGGCUCCUAUCAAUGAAUAAGAUGAUGAUUCUCUUGCUAUCUCUUUGUCUAUACACUUUAUACUUCAUCACGUUAUCAUGCACUUUGUUCUAACCCUAGAGCCAAUAAGCCAUCAUUUGUUUUCCAAAUCCUAAAAUCGGGCAGCCUUGUUUUUCCCGAUUUUCGACUAAAAUUCCGACUGCCCUCCGCCGAAAUUUUAUAUCCCCAGAAAGCUCUCUCCGCCCCGGAUCCAACGCCGCCGGCCUCACCCUGAGAACCGGCCGGAAAGUCUCCAAACCGGCCGCCGGAAGAUUCCAGACCGCCGCCGCUACCGACCACCGGUUCACCACCUUCCCUUGCUCUAAUCAACCUGAAUUUUUGACUGAAGCUUCCCCAUCCAGAGCUGCUCCUCCUAUCAAAUUUUCAGCCCCAAAUUCGAAGUAUAAGUAGGCGAAACGUUGUUUCUCCUCUCUGCAGCCUCUAGAAACCAAAGAUUUCAAGAUUGCUCGUCUUCUAAGGAAACCAGAAAGGUAUGUUUUGAAACCUUAAACUUUUCCAAGUUCAAUAACUUGGGGAGGAUAAAAUCCUUUCCUCCCUUCUCCAUCUCCAUUCUAUGCUUGGGAUUUUGUGUGUGCAGGUACUAAAAAUCCCGGAAUUUUAUUCGCGGGUCAAGAGUGUGUUUGAUCACUUUUGCUUCCUUGUCCGGGUUGUGUAUGAUCAACCCCGACCUUUCUCCGGAUUGUGUUUGAUCAAUCCGAGGCCUUUUCCGAAUUGUGUUUGAUCAAUUCGCGGCUUUUUCCGGAUUGUGUAUGAUCAAUCCGAAGGACAAACCAUUAAAAGCAUUGUUUGUGACCUCUAUCGAGUCUCAUAACAACUUGGUUUUGUAUGCAAGAGUAAUGUAACAUUCUGCUCAUUUGAGUUUUGACGCACUCGAUGCCUAAGGCGAAUCUUGGCUUGGUAUUUGUGGAACCUUUCAUUGCAAAGGAUUAAACCACAUGUUUUGACCCCCAGGCUAACAAGCCUAGAUGCCGAGAUUUCAUAUCUCAUGCACUCAAAGUCUUUGACGUGUCACAUCGACAAAAGUAAUGACCACAAAGUACUGUGGAAUGCACUCAUGGAGCGUUUCUUGAAACGUUCAUAUAACUCUACUUGUUGAGUUAUUAGUCAAGUGGAUUGAUUACCACCUUAAUUGACUAUAUAUUGUCGAUGAUCUUUUAUGGCAUCAUGAUCCAUAAUCUUUAGCGGAUUCGAUCAUCAUCAAGUUCUCUAGGUCCUCCAAGUUGGUGUGGAAUUACCAACAAGACUUGAUUUUGAUCAUACAAACGGGAAUUGUAUAUACGCUAAUGUGAUAACUUAUUUGGGAUUAUCCCCUAAUGUGGGGACAACAAUAUGGGUCAUGGCAACGGCAGAAAACGUCGUGCCGAUGUCUAGAAAAGAGGGGGAGGUGUCGCCGGCUCUAAUAGCGACACUCCCGGUCUAGACACCAUUUUGUCAAAACUACUCACGUCAGCUCAUGACAAUACAACUGUUGUGGAUCUUUGAAUCACUGAUUCAAGAUUGUCAAGCUUCUUCAAAUUGUGAAUGCAUACAAAAAGGUAUAGAAAAUCAAUAUGAGGACAAGAACGUCAUCCUCAUGAUCGCGAAUUUCAAAGAUUCGGAUCCUACUCUAGCUACCCAUGACUUUGACGUCAUCAACUAGACAUUGAUUUUCGUUCCAAGCUAUAUGUACUAAGGCGUUGUAUUGACGUCCUUCGUCUAUUUGAGACCUCGAUGUACUCACAUUAGCAAUAACGAAUGCCUUGAGAAUUUUUUCGAAGUUAUGAAACUAUUCUCCUCUUAUGGUUCGUAAGCACUACCGACCCUCCACGGACAUGCCCGGUCAUACUGACUUGGAGUUACCGAAAGCUUUUGAUUUUGGAUCCCCCUAUGCUAUUAAACCAAUUGCUGUCUUACAAAAGACGUUGAAGACUUAUCAAAACCGGCAAAUUAUCAUCAUGAUCGAAUCCUCUAGGUCCUCUGAGUUGGUUUAUGUUCAUGUCAGGAAGCUUUUGCUAACUAGUCAUGGAGUUUACGACCUUAGAAUGACCGAAAGGACUUGGUUUUGAUCAUACACACGUCAUUUUUGGCUAAGGCAAAAACCUACACGCCACCUGCAAGCUUCACAGAUUCGCACAUGCCAAUUUUGCAAAAAAACAGCAAUCUGUCCCUUCUGGACAGUCAAUUUCGUUUGAGCUUUGUGAACAGCUCCGGACAAACCAGACAGUGAGCUUUAUAUCAUUGGAAAGCUCUACGAGUCUAGUUUUCAGAACAUUUUGCGGUUCAUCUAUAUCUAUUUUAACGAAGAAGUUAUGGCUGUUUUAGUGCGCAAAGGUCAUUCUGCGCGGAAAUUUUUAUGCACUCUCGGGAUUGCAGCUUUUUGUAGCUUCGUUCAAUCCUUCUAAAUGGUUCAAGUGGAACUAUUUACUCUCUUAUCUACUCUAUUUUGUAGAUCUGUCUCAUCGAGACAUUGAGUGCUUCGCAGAUAGUGGAACUAUCCAUAACAUUCUAAGGAAUUGGCAACUAUCUUUGGAUUUUGUGCCUUUGUAAAUCUUCUGUGACUAUAAUGAUUGAAUCAUACCGGUCAUUCAGAGACACGGUUUAGCUUGAAUCUUGAUGCCUCAUGGCACCAUGAUCAAUGUCACAGAUACCCUCUAUGCAUUGAGAGGCAAUCGAACCAUAUUGAGCUUUAAAGACAUUCAUGCUAAUAGUUUUCAUUUGAAAACACAUUGUGAGAAUGAACCAGAAUUCUUUUGUGUAUACCUUCUCAUGAAUGCGGACUGAAGCGCAUCUUGGAGAAAUUCAUGAGUCAAUCUAGUGGACUGUAUGUCACUACGAUUCGAAUAUCGAAUCCCAUGUUAUCGCCAAACAUGAUAUUUGGGACACCGACUCAUAUAGGCUUUGGUUUGACCAAAUUGGUCAACCUGGAAGAGAUAUAAUGGUCCAAAUUUUGAGAAAUUCUCAUGGACAUCCAUUCUUCCGCUCAAAACGAAGACAUUCGAGAUCUAGCAUCACCAUGAAGCAUGGUGGUGACCUGGGGGACAUUGACGUCACCCAAACACGACUCCAAUUUCCUAGAGGUCGUCCGGUCAAUUCUUCAAGCAAUUGAGGUGCACCGGCCUUCCCUCGAUGUCGCAUUGGCCCCCUGCAAUGCUCAUUACUCGUUUUGAAAGCCUAUUCUUUAGCUAAAUUAGGAGUAAGACCCUCCUACGCUAAAUAACACAAAAGUGAACAUUCUAUUCUUACAUAAAAUUAUGUAGAUAGAUACAACCAACUUGCGGACACCUUUUAUGCUUUAUGGUGUUGGUUGAAGUGUUAGCACACUGGUCACGUGUUAGUUGUUACACUAUUAUCUACUGCUUAUGCUGCUUAUACUUCUACGGGCUCACUACCCAUUCUUUAAAGAAGUUUAUUGGGAUGUAAGUUGAAGUGUCCUGUACCCCAUGUUCACACACAAUACGGUCUCACCGAGGCUACGACUAAGCAACUUUAGCUUGUCGCUCGAACAUUAUUGAUGCGCACUAAUCUUUCUAUUGCGUCUUGGGGCUAUGCAAUAUUUGCAUGCAGCUUUACUAUUCAUCUACGACCCACUAUCAUUGAAUAUUUUUGUACUACAGCUCGUGACUGUGUACCAGGAUUGCAAUCCUUGAGCUCAAACAAGAUUGAAACGGAUCUCCAAUCCUUGAGCUCGGCUAGAUGUUAUUUCUAGGUGUCAAAUCGCAUUGCCACUGCGUACAAUGAUGGGUCAUUUGAGAUGAAUAAAUAUUUAGGUUGGAUGUGAACCUCCACCUAUAAUCCACAUAUGUAGAAACCUUGCCAGACGAUCUCUUUCACCGCUAUAUUGCGGAUGGUCAUUUUGAUGAGACAAUUUUCCCGCCAUUAGGGGGAGAUAAGAACACAAGUGUUCAAGUGGAAGGACGUGAAUUGUCGUGGUUUGUCCCCACUAAGUCUCAUCUUGAUCCCAAAUGCUUAAAGUGUUAAAGUGACGAGAUCACAUGCUGCAAAUAUGUCUGCAAGGAUUGAUGUCCUACAAAAGGACAUGGUGCGACCAAAAGGUGUUGGUCUUGACGCCAUCACCAUGGAUAGUGAUAUAGUGACGCCAUAUAGUGGCAAAAUUGGUGUCACAAGGCCGUGUGGCUCCCCAAAAGGAGGGAGACCCUUAGGUUCGAUACUUUCUUGCACUAAGAAGAAAGCGAGCUUGGCACAACCUAAUCCAUUGAUUAGUGAUACUCAAAUCCGUCUCAUGAAGUCUGAAUUGUGAUUAUCGUUAGGGGACGCCUCAAUGUCAAAUCCAAUCCAUAUAGAGAUCUCUACAAGUAUUACACUAGUGUACAUGAGGACAUGGGAUAAUGAGUCUACUAUCGAACCACCCUUCGUUGAUCCACCCUUCGUUGAUGGAUAUCAACUUAGUUGAUUGGCCUAAUGGAAAGAUGCAAUCCAGCAUUAACAAAGAGAUAGGUCCUUGGGCAGGUGAUGCCGACACCGCAAGCUAAACCCUAUCAACUAUACUUUUGUUAGAUAGCGUAGUGAGAAUAAGAGUUUAGACUCACCUUAUGGUGCAAUGUCUCUCACUAUCACGCACUGGGAUCGACUACGAUGAGAUGUUCUCUCGUAAUGGAUGUCAUUGAACUCCACUACUUUGUCAGUUUGGUAGUUUCCGAAUAACUGAACAUGCAGCCUAUGAAUGUGGUCAUAAUAACAUCUCUAUGGGAUCAGAGAUAUACAUGAAGAUCUUACACAGACUUCAUUCAUCUGAAUCAAGUGGCUCUAGACCACAGGAGCACGCGUUUGCUAAAUGUAUUGAAAUGCACAUGGACUCUACUUGAUUUGGAAGGGAUAUGGUGAAUUAUGUCUUUGCGUGUUCAUUCCAGAUUUACAUGGACUCUUGAUGGAUCAAGUGAUGCCAAUAUGUAUCAACAUCCGAAGAAAAAGAUCUUGGGAAUACACGGUCUCGAUAAGGCACUCGAUGACUGUAUUGAUGAUGAUUUUCCAUCAAUCGGCUUAGGCGCUCUAUAACUAGUGAGGCCUACAUAUACUCACAUGAUUAGUCAAGGUCUUUGCUCUAAAGAGAGAUCCGUUGUAUUGUCUAAAGCAAGAUGACAAAUAUGUGUUAAGAGAUGGAGUUCCCAUCUAAGUACAAUAAGACGCAUCAAUGUACUCAACACAAUACGAAAGACUUGACAUCUCAUUCGCUAUGAAAAGUUGUAAAGCUAAGUGUAGCUAUGCGUCCACGCAACGCCAAUGUAAUGGCAGUAACUCCUUUUUCAAUACUUAAUGGUAUGAAAGGUUGAGGCUAAUUCUAUCCCUACAUAAGAAAGACACAUCAAAAGCGAAAUCAGAAUCUGCCAAGUUUCAUAGGUCAACUUCCACAGGACCUAUAAGAAGUCUCACUCACUGGAAAAUGGUGAAAUUGGUACCAUUGGAAAGGUUUAUGUGUCUACUUUCCAGGGACACCAACCAUUUGAUCAUACCUAUCAUAUUGAGUGAGUUAUGGCCGUUUUCGUAAAGUAGGACUAAUCUGUCCGAGAAUCUGAUUUUGGCAAAACAGUCAACCUCGACGGGACUUGGUGAAUAGCUCCUGACGAACCAGAACGUGUGUAAUAUACAGUUGGAAAGCUAAAUGAGUCUAUUUUCCAAAACCGUUUACGGUUCGUUCAUAUGUAUUUCCUAGAGGAAGUUACGGCUGUUCUAGUAACUGAAGGUCAUGCUACGCGGAACUUAUGUUUUGAGUUCACAAGCGACCUUCUCCUCAAGAUCUAAGUGUAAAGGAUCAUUUGAGGACAAACCGGCAUGAUUUAGUUAAUCAUUGCCCAAUGUCACAUUUGAAGACAUGUUAAAGAGCAUUGACAUGCUAAGUUGUUGAAACUUCCGUGAUUAGUAAGAAUCAGGAAGAGCCCUAUGAUUGAUGUAAAGAUCAGGGGGAGGUGCAAACUUCAGGGGGAGUCUAGCACAUACAUACAUGUCACUAUCAAAUGUGAAGGGUGCGUUGUACUCUUUUUCUCAUACGAUCAAGGUUCAGUUUUUCUCCCAUAGGGUUUUUGUGACUUGACGAGGUUUUUGACGAGGCAACAGAUCAGCACCAUCGGCAUAUCAGCGCGCGGCACAAGGGGGAGUGUUUUAGGAUAUUCUAUAUCUUUCUAGAUAUUCUUUAUAUGUGCCUUGACCUUAUGCCAUUAGGAUAUGUAGUUUGACUAGAUCUAUGUAUUCAUAUCUUUACCAUAUUGGUAUUGUGUAAUUCCCUAUAUAAAGGGCUCCUAUCAAUGAAUAAGAUGAUGAUUCUCUUGCUAUCUCUUUGUCUAUACACUUUAUACUUCAUCAAAAACAAGGAUUUUAAAGCCCACUUUAAUAUAAAUCUUUUACCUUAACCCAUUCCAAUAAUUCUUAAUAAAAUAACAAAUAUGCCCCUGUUUUGAUAUUCCUCUCCGAUCAGAUCUAACAUCUCUCUCUCAUACAAACUUCGGCCAACUCUUUCAUCCACAAAUACAUUUUUGAAAUAGAGUAAUUUACAGUCACAUAUUAUUAUGUUUUUCUCCCAGUUUCCAUAGAUUUAACCUGAUUUUACUUCCUAUUUUCUGGAUGGUCGAUAUUUCCUAAUCUUCGUUAUUUUAGACUUUUACAGCAUGUUUGUUUCCCAGGACUACUUAUGCUCACCUUAUUAUCAACAAUAGUCCAUGACUCUUCAAACCUGGCUUAAGUUGUAUAAGACAUGUCCCAUGUUUGGUACUGCAUCGGACUAAUGAGCAUAAUAGUCCAAAUACUGAUACCUCAUGUUUGCCCAGAAAAAUAUUGAGGUUUGCCUAGAAAAAAAAGAGCAGCUCUGUAAGGCAAAGAAAAGAAGAAACAAUAUUUGAGAAGUUCUUCAUCUUACAAAACACAAGCAGACUACAUGCCUUCUCAUAUCAAUAUAUACCCUAGCCUGCAUCAUAUUUGCUAUCAGAGUUCACAUCCCAUAUUCAUACAGAGAACAACCAAAUUCUCUUAAAAUUCAUACAAAUACAUACAAGACAUAGAACAUUCACACAAUUGGAGGGGAUGGCUGAGCGUCACAUUAAGGAAUAGUAUUCUGCAAUUAAGCAAAAUACAGAUACACAGCCUUCUGAUGAUCAGCAAAACGGUUAAAUAACAAAGGCAUAAGAAUAGCCUGUGAAGAAGUAGAUGCAUAGCCUGAAAAAGAAGAAGACGACCCAUGAAUGAAAUUGUGUAGAUCAACCAUUUCGUCAAACACUCUGCCUUUUUUUCACCGCACCAUUUUCACCCAACCCAACCCAACCCAACCCUAAGAUCCUUCCUCCCCACAAAUCCACCAUCACCCACAUCUUGUGACCCCUUUUCCUCAUCUGGGUUCUUCCCAAAACCUCGUUUCUUCAACCCAAAUCCAUGAACAACACCACCGCCAUUGUUGGGUCUGUGACCGAAACCCUUUACCCUUCUUGGUUCAAUUAAGCUACCCAGACACCCGCAAGAGAGAAUGAGAAAGGAGGAAGAGAGCAAAUUGCACCUGGGCAGGAGCAGUCAAGCUAGUUGGAGUAGAAGAAUGGAUGAGCAACGAGGAACAAUGAAGCGUUAGAGAGUCCGCCCAUUUUUGGGGCCGCUCCGUAAGAAUGUCAAAAGAGGGUGCAGACGCUACGUAUGCUCAUUUAAAUGAGUCCCGAGUCCCACCAAACACAGGACAAGGCUUAUUUUCUUAACUAAGCUAGUCCAAUCCCUGUUAAU
rnacentral:lncRNA from 1 species